rnacentral:rRNA from 1 species
AGCGAACGCUGGCGGCAGGCCUAACACAUGCAAGUCGAACGGAUCCUUCGGGAUUAGUGGCGGACGGGUGAGUAACACGUGGGAACGUGCCCUUUGGUUCGGAACAACUCAGGGAAACUUGAGCUAAUACCGGAUGUGCCCUUCGGGGGAAAGAUUUAUCGCCAUUAGAGCGGCCCGCGUUAGAUUAGCUAGUUGGUGAGGUAAAGGCUCACCAAGGCUACGAUCUAUAGCUGGUCUGAGAGGAGGAUCAGCCACACUGGGACUGAGACACGGCCCAGACUCCUACGGGAGGCAGCAGUGGGGAAUCUUGCGCAAUGUGCGAAAGCCUGACGCAGCCAUGCCGCGUGAAUGAUGAAGGUCUUAGGAUUGUAAAAUUCUUUUACCAGGGACGAUAAUGACGGUACCUGGAGAAAAAGCCCCGGCUAACUUCGUGCCAGCCGCCGCCGUAA